rnacentral:rRNA from 1 species
GACGUAGGGCGCGAGCGUUGUCCGGAUUUAUUGGGCGUAAAGAGCUCGUAGGCGGUUCGUCGCGUCGGCUGUGAAAACCCGAGGCUCAACCUCGGGCCUGCAGUCGAUACGGGCGGACUGGAGUUCGGCAGGGGAGACUGGAAUUCCUGGUGUAGCGGUGAAAUGCGCAGAUAUCAGGAGGAACACCGGUGGCGAAGGCGGGUCUCUGGGCCGAUACUGACGCUGAGGAGCGAAAGCGUGGGGAGCGAACAGG